GUAACUGUUCCCUUUUGGAAAAACAAGCAAUACAGCUAUCUUUCCUUUCCUAAUUUCACAGAUGCAACAACACAUGCUACUUGAAUAGGUUGCCUCCAUUAUAUAUAUAAAUAUAUGUUAACCAACAAAUGACGUUUUGAUAAAACAUGAAAUCCUUUUUAGUUGAAACUUUAUCAACAAGCUGAUUCAUAACUGUAAGAAAAUAUUGUUAGAAGAACUUUACGUGAUAUCCCUCUUCACUGUAUUCAUCCUGUGUAAAGGUAAGUAAAUAUUCUAAAGUAGAAGGCUACGCAAUAUUAUGUAACUUCAUUUUUCAUUCUUAUCAUAUUAUGAACAAAUAACACUAAUUUGAAAAUGUACAACUUUUCAAUCUUCAAAAAACUUGUAAUACCAAAGUAUAGUUAUCAUAACAUUUCAUACCGAGUGUCAUUAUUAAUUCAAAUAUAAAGAUAAACAUUCAUGCAUGGUGAGUUUACUACCAACCACUGGGUCGAUGCCACGGCUAUUGAAGGAAUCUCCCCGCGGUAUCAACACCUAGUAGUCAGCACGUUCUGUGUUAAUAUAUGGUCUUUAUUGUAAAUGAACUUUUCAGAAAAAAAUGAAUAUUCGAAAUAGUAUAGUAUACUUGAGCUAUAUUUUGACAAAACCUUUCAGAUUUUUGGAUGCUCAAUGCUCUUCACCUUUACUUUGAGUGUCACUGAUGAGUCAUUUUUAGAUGAAACGCGCUACUGGCAUACACAAUUUAAUCAUUGUAUAUAUGAUGAAUUAAAUAACAUAAAAUCGUUGUACCAAAGUGACAUUAAAUCUGUGGGACCAAUUCUAGUCGGAUCCUUUUAUACCUGCAUAUACUACUUGAGCAAUCGUGGUAUUAUCUAGUACUUUAUUAUUACUUUACAUGAAACAGGAUCUCCUCACCCAUCAAUAGCUGCUUGCUUCACCCUAGUUUUUGGUGGGGUUCGUGUUACUAAGUCAUUUGUUUUUUAUGUUGUGUUUUGAGAACUAUUGUUUGUAUUUUUCUAUUAUAUACGUUGUCAGUUUGUUUUAUUCUUAUGAGCUUGAAUGUCCCUUUUGUAUCUUGUCCUUUCUUAUAUUCUCAUUAUUUUAUUUGUACCAUAUUUGAAGAUUUACUAUAAUGAUUACAUAUAUUAAUAUUUUUCAGGAGUAUCCUGUUGACUGCUGAACAAAGAACCUGUCUCAUGUCUAGAAAAAAUUGAAAACAAUCAUCUCCAAGAUAAUGCACAUUUUAUUCAGACAAACCAUAGGCUGUCUUGGUUCAUAGAUAAUGUGGUUGUCACAUCAGUUGUAAAAUGACAAUUUUUAAAAGAAAUUGUGAAUUUUUAUAGAUAAAUAGCAUAAAGUGAAAUGUAAAAUAGAGACGGAGGUAGCAUUAGAUACUUAAUAUAGUCUUGAAUGUUGGAAUCGCAUCCACCAAAAAACUUUUUUAAUUCUAGUAUUAUGAAAUGAUUUCAUGUUGUCAUUAGAGUAGUUUCAUACAGGUGAUAGUUAUAACAUAUAGAGAAGGGAGGGAUAGUACAUAAUUUCAGUAAAAGUGUCAAAUCUCGGAAGUUGAAAAUAUACCUCAUGUCCCUAUGUUUUGACCUUUGAAAAAAUAGCAGUGCGUAUGAAUUUUUCAUCCUAGGAAAAACAUUUCUUUUACAAAACCGUUCAUAAUAAAAGUGGCC
rnacentral:lncRNA from 1 species